UCUUCUUCUUCUUCUUCUUCUUCUUCUUUUUCUUCUUCUUCUUCUUCAGUUUCCCGAGCAUUGUAGCUCCAGCCCACCUUCCCUCUCCCUUGUUCUCCUUUGUUGCAGAUCACCCGCCACAGCCAUCCUCUGCUCCAACCGAGCACUCCCUUCGCACCACAGUACCAGCAGCAGCUCUCUGCUGCAACAGCAGGCCCUGACUACCAUCAACCUUCUCCAGCCUUUGCAACACCAGCCGCCCAAGAGCAGCUCUCCAGCCAGCAAACAACCAGCACCAGCUGAACACGACAAAGCCCACGGCCACCACUUCCUUUGCAUCUCCAGCCAAGGCCGCAAUCAGCAACUCCAACCGAGCACUCCCUUCGCAGCACGCCAGUAGAACAGAGCAGCAGACCCUGCUGCUGCUGAAACCUCCUCCAGCCACCUUGUUCCCUGCACAACACAACUCACUGUCCACAGCAUCCCUGCCAGAUGAAAGAGAAUUUCUUGUCAACAUUUUUGAUGAAUACAUGUACCCUGGAAAGUUGUGUGUUUUCAUGAUGAUUUGCUUAUGUGAAGUUAGUUAUACCCUGUUUUUUUUUAUAUGCUACUAACACACUGUCAUUGUUUGUGGUUUGAUGAGGACGUUGUUUUGAUGCCGAGUGUUCGUGAUUGAUCUUCGGAAAUCUUGUGCUAAUUUCUGAGAUCCGGCGGUACCCCCUCUUAUAUACAACCCUAUGAGCAAGAAAAGCUAUCUCAGUUAGAAUUGUUAGUUGUUGAUGAAGCAGCAGCCAUUCCAUUGCCUGUUGUGAAGUCCUUGCUUGGUCCUUAGCUGGUUUCCCUUUCAUCCACUGUCAAUGGAUAUGAAGGCACGGAGCGUUCUUUAUCAUUAAAACUUCUGCAACAACUAGAAGAGCAAAGCCAUAAGCCAGCUAAGAAUGCGGAGAGCUCUGUCUCUGGAUUCCAAUUUGCUUUCCGAGGGCAUGUAACAUUCCAUCUCUGAUAUCUCUGCACUGCUUCCACCAUAAUGGAGCAACAAGAAAUUCUUUUGCAGCUGCUUCUAACACCUUGUUGCUUCCGCAGAUGGUAUUUAAUUCUUUGUUGUGUUUAUUCUUUUGCCUUCUGGUGUGCUUGUUAUCUUUAAGUUAAAAAUUCAGUACAAAACCCAACAAA